CUAAUGUGGCAGAAUAAAUGUGUUAGAUUUAAAAUUUAAUUAUGAAUAAUUUCCUUUAGAA
rnacentral:tRNA from 1 species